CACUCAACGAAGUGUCUGCUC
rnacentral:siRNA from 1 species